rnacentral:rRNA from 1 species
AACGAACGCUGGCGGCAGGCCUAACACAUGCAAGUCGAGCGAGGACUUCGGUCCUAGCGGCGGACGGGUGAGUAACGCGUGGGAACGUGCCCUUUGGUACGGAAUAGCCCCGGGAAACUGGGAGUAAUACCGUAUGGUGUCUUCGGACUAAAGAUUUAUCGCCAAAGGAUCGGCCCGCGUUGGAUUAGGUAGUUGGUGGGGUAAUGGCCUACCAAGCCGACGAUCCAUAGCUGGUUUGAGAGGAUGAUCAGCCACACUGGGACUGAGACACGGCCCAGACUCCUACGGGAGGCAGCAGUGGGGAAUCUUAGACAAUGGGGGCAACCCUGAUCUAGCCAUGCCGCGUGAGUGAUGAAGGCCCUAGGGUUGUAAAGCUCUUUCAGCUGGGAAGAUAAUGACGGUACCAGCAGAAGAAGCCCCGGCUAACUCCGUGCCAACAGCCGCGGUAAUGUAGACGUCU